CUGUCGUCAGUGACCUUAGAUGGCAUCUCUGGGGUGUAGAUUCAUGAACAGGAAACUCAUAAAAAGGGGACUGAGGGCGAUGGGGAGGGGAGAGGUGAGCUCCCCACGCUGACUUAAGGAGAGAGAUCAGUGCUGUUCCUCAGCCUUCCGCUGGGGUCGAAGUGCUGGGGGCAACUCCCAGGCACCUCUGGGCUCCCCUUUGCUCAGAGGAGGGCUGUAGGGAUGAGUCUUUAAGCCACCAGAGAAAGGGGCUCUGGGAUCUGCCUAGUAUCUGCUGCAGCUGUGUGAAUAAGUAGCUUUAAAUGAAGGUGGAAAACGUGACACACUGUUGUUAGCAGUGGUGAGACAGUGUGCCGGGGCCGGGAGGAUUAUGAAGGCUGUGGUGGGGGGAGCUGAGCCUGUAGCAUCUGGGAAGACCACAUGGGCAAAGCAGCAUGGGAAGUAACUAUGGGGAGGUCCGAGCUGUCGCACCUGAGAGGGAAAGGUUCUGACUGAAGCCAGCACAGAGAGAGAAGUGCGGACGGGAAGUGCAGAUAGGGAUGAACACUGUGAGUCAGAGGAACCAAGGUUGCGUUCAUGUUUGGCUGCCUCCCCACCCCCUUGUCCUUUGCUUGCUUGUUGAUCUGAUUCUCUCUUGUUACAUUAAUUUAUUCAUUCAACAAACAUGCAUCUGGAGUCCACCGGACUCUCCCACUCCGUUCUUAUGGACCGCAGAGGCUGGUUCUUUUCAUGAAGGGCAGGCAGGGUGGCGGCUGGCAGCCCUAGUCCAAGGAGGUGAACCAAGUCUGUUCCUGCAUUCAUCUAUCACCUCUUUGAGAAAGGUUCAGUUUGGUCCUGCUGAGGCUGGGCUCACAGCGUUUGCUCCCAUCACUGAAAGGAGGGAGGGAAUGUUACAGUAACCAUUUCAGUGCAGAGCGGAAUCUUCUGUGAGGAAUGGCUGACCAGAGCUGGAUGAGGUCAUGCCAUAUUCUUUCCCCAUGGGACAGUAGCACCAGGCAGGCCUCCAACUGCAGAUGGGUGUCUCCCACAUGGUAGAGGACUCUAGAGGGAGCAAUAUCCUCUGGUGAAAGUGUGUGUGUGUGUGUGUGUGUGGGGGGGGAGCAGCAAUACUAGUUAAUCUGGGAUGGGAGUUGAGAAGACUCUGAAUACCAGGCCAGAAUCCUGGACUCUAUCUUGUGAGCUGUAGAAGAGGACAGGCCUGGCAUAAUCAGCAGCGAGGCUUGGGUCGAUCAUCUGGAGGAAACUUGGUGGGAGCAUAAAGUUCACUGGAUCCGAAAACUGAUUGAUAUCAAGGACGAAGCGCAGGUGGCUGCAGGGCUGUGUUCCUCCUUUGAAGUACUUGGUUAUCUCCUGGACCUUUUGAUGUCUUUGUCUUCUCUGCUCCUAUCUUGGGUCCCGAGAGCUCCAUCAUCUGAAGUCUUCUUGUUUGUAGGAGUCUCAGGAUGACUGGGAUGCCAUCUCUCAAUGCUAUCGUCACUUUCAUUCCCGAGUCACAUAUCCUCAGGUCCAAAAGACGAGCAUCUUCUCCAUGGCUUGUUCACGACCCACCUGAGGUCUGCCCUGUGGGGCUCCUGUGCCUCUGUGCUUUGGUCUGCUUCCUGCUUCUCAGUUCAACAGACAGCUGUGAUGUGAAGGAAGGCUUGGUCUCCCCGCUCUGAGACUGCUGUGAUGUGAAGGAAGGCUUGGUCUCCCCGCUCUGAGACUGCUGUGAUGUGAAGGAAGGCUUGGUCUCCCCGCUCCGCCCCACCCCUGCACCUGCAACAGCCCCCUCCUGGGAGCAGCAGUUCUCUUCCCAGGAGGGACACAUCCUUUGCUCCUCUGCCCAGACCCGACUGUCCUCCCCGCAUGGUUUCAGGACUCUCUAGUUACUGUUUCCUAUGGGAGCUUAAAGCAUCGUUUCAUACUACUUCUACUUGCCCUUAUUACUUUUAUUGUCCUAAGUGCACCGCAUUGGAUUGAGACAACUUCCAUUUUUUCUAUUCAGGCUCUCCUUAAUCCACAAAAACACCAUCAUUUCCUGAAUUUUCUUCAGCUUAGCAGCCCGCUUAGAAGGUGGCACACUAGCUUCAGUGCUAAUCAACACUUGGAAUUCUUUUGUAACAGCCCCAAGGUACUUUUUAAAACAAAUUUCUAGUUAGAAUGAGGCUUUUUAGUAGUAUGUUUGCAUUCUCGAAACUCUUUUCUUUCCGUUUUGGGAAGAAGAGCUGAUGUCAUGGCAGAGCUUUCUCCUUUUGCUGCAACUUCAGUUUCUUCUCAGAUUAUUUACUAAGAAUUUUAAGAAAAUUCUGUGAUGUCAACACAUGUGUCUGUCCCUGCUCAUGUGCCUUCCUGUAGAAAAAUGCCAACACUUGUCGAGUAGAACUGGUCUAUGACACCCUGCAGAGCAGCCUGUUCAGUGCCCCUGGUACAACUCAAUAACUUAAUAAAAGAUUGAAGUAUUUUUAAAAAUUACGUGUGUGUUUAUGUUUGGAUUUGUGCAUGUGACCGCAGUGACCACAGAAGCCAGAAGAGUG